UAUCCAUUCAUCUGUCGAUGGACAUUUAGGUUGCUUCCAUGUCUUGGCUAUUGUAAACAGCACUUCAGUGAACAGGGGUGCAUGUAUACUUUCGAACCAUGUUUUUUUCUGGAUAUAUGCCCAGGAGUGGGAUUGCUAGAUCAUAUGGUAGCUCUCUUUAAAGUUUUUUAAGGAACCUCCAUACAGUUCUCCAUAGUGGCUGUAUCAAUUUACAUUCCCACCAACAGUGUAGGAGGGUACCCUUUUCUCCACACCCUCUCCAGCAUUUAUUAUUUGUAGACUUUGAUGAUGGUACUUCUGACUGGUGUGAGGUGAUAUCUCAUGGUAGUUUUGAUUUGCAUUUCUCUAAUAAUUAGUGAUGUUGAGCAUCUUUUCAUGUGCCUCUUGGCCAUCUGUUUGUCUUCUUUGGAGAGAUGUCUAUUUAGGUCUUCUGCCAAUUUUUUGAUUGGGUUGUUGGUUUUUUUGGUAUUGAGCCACAUGAGCUGUUUGUAAAUUUUGGAGAUUAAUCCUUUGUUGGUCACAUCAUUUGCAAAUAUUUUCUCCCAUUCUCUAGGUUGUCUUUUCGUUUUGUUUAUGGUUUAUUUUGCUGUACAAAAGCUUUUGAGUUUAAUUAGGUCCCAUUUGGGUUUUUUGUUUGUUCUUAUUUCCAUUACUCUAGGAGACGGCUUGAAGAAGAUACUGCCGUGAUUUAUGUCAAAGAGUAUUCUGCCUAUGUUGUCCUCUAAGAGUUUUAUAGUAUUUGAUCCUUCAUUUAGGUCUUUAUCCCAUUUUGAGUUUAUUUUUUAUAUGGUGUUAAAGAAUGUUCUAAUUUCAUUUUUUUUACGUAUAGCUGUCCAGUUUUUUUCCCUGGGUCCUGGUGCACACAAGACCUUGUGUGUGCCCUCCAAGAGUGGAGUUUCUGUUUCCCCCAGUCCUGUGGAAGAAUUCCUGUGAUCAAACCCCUCUGGCCUUCAAAGCCAAAUUCUCUGGGGCUCUUCCUCCCGUUUCCAGGCCCCCAGCUAGGCAGCCUGAUGUAGGGCUCAGAACUUUCACUUCUGUGGGAGAACUUCUGUGGUAUAAUUAUUUUCUAGUUUGUGGGUCGCCCACCCGGCAGGUAUGGGAUUUGAUUUUAUCAUGAUUGCGCCCCUUCUACUGUCUCAUUGUGGUUUCUUCUUUGUCUUUGGUUGUAGGGUAUCUUUUUUGGUGGUUCCAGCAUUUUUCUGUCAAUGGUUGUUCAGCAAUUAGUUGAUUUUGAUGUUUCCAUAAGAAGAUGUGAGCUCAUGUCCUACUCUGCCAUCUUGUCACCAGGAUCCUCAUUUCUUAAAUAGACUUUAUUUUUAGAGCAAAUUUAAGUUCACAGCAAAACUGAGCAGAAGAUACAGAGAUUUCCUACAUACUACUGCCCCCACAUAACGCAUAUACCCUCCCACACUGUCCACAUCCUGAAGCCCUAGGAUUUUGAAGCACGUAAAAGUCACCCUCAAGUGAGCAUAGUGAUAAACAGUUGAUCAAAAGCUACCUUGGAAGUUCUGCCUCUGGGUAAGUUAGAGUAAGUACACUCCAUCCUAUCCCCACCAAAUGCAACCAUAAAACCUGCAUAGACCAGGUAUUUGAAUGCAUGGUCCAGCUACUUGAGGACUCAGAGUGGCAGUCAGAUUGAAGAAGACCAGAAUUUAACAUACCACAAGACCAACAGUGAGUUUACCCGUAUUUUCCCCUUUGGUAGCCCCUCUACUUGGGCUUAAGGCUGCUUAAAACCCAGAAUUGGGAUUCUGUGCAGACAGAGCUCCAGAGAAAACCUAAUUUUGGCUCAAAGAGUGGGAAGGGAGUCUCCUAAUGACCAGCAAAAAUUAAGAAAAUACUCCUUUCUCUUUUUCUAUGUUUUCUUGCACACCAGCUCUCAAACAACCUGAGGGUGUCAGCAGCAACAACAGUGGCAGUGGCAAACCCACAGACACCUAAAAUUCUGAGGAAAGGGAACCUUCGUGUACAAUCAGAGGAGCUGUGGUCCCAAGAGGAUGUGUACGCGGGCCUCUCACUGUUGUGGCCUCUCCCGUUGCGGAGCACAGGCUCCGGACGCGCAGACUCAGCGGCCAUGGCCCACGGGCCCAGCCACUCCGCGGCAUGUGGGAUCCUCGCAGACCGGGGCAUGAACCUGUGUCCCCUGCAUCGGCAGGCAGACUCUCAACCACUGCGCCACCAGGGAAGCCCAGGACAUCAUUUUGAAAACAUACUUUCAAAUGAUUCAGGGAAUAAAAAGUUCUUUGUACUAUUCUUGUAGUUUUUCAAUAAGUAUGAAAUAAUUUCAAAAUAAAAAUUAUCUUUACAUAAAAAUAAUUUUAUACAAAACAGUAAUAUAGAGUAAGUGGCAUUUUACAUAAGAAGAACCAGAAUAGAAUAUAGUAGAUUUGAGUAAUUAAUUUUCAAAAAAGAAAGUCUAAAAUUGUAUAACAUAAAAAUCAACGGCCUGAAUAUGUUGACAACUGCAAACAGUAUGGGAAAUGUGAAUAUAUUUAUUAUAUGAGUUACAGAUCUCUUGAAAUUUGUAGAUAUACUAUUAGACAAUACAGCACUGCCACCAAUUUUUAGAGGAAAAAAACCACUUUAACCACUAAUCAUAAACAUGGACCAGGUGACUUCCUGGAUUUCACAACAGAAAUAAUAACAACCUGACAAGUUAGAGUGAAUUCAGUGUAAUAGCUGUGAGAAAGGCAAUUUACAAGAAUGCCAAACAAAUGUCAAACUGUUUGGUUCUUGUAUACACUUGAUUUUGGUCCUAAAUUAGACAUUUGGUUAGUAGUAAGACUUCUCCAUCCUGAUUUACUGGUCUAACCUGUCUCAGUCAGUAAUUGGCAGAUAUAAACUCAGAUUAUGUAAAUCGAGUUAGGAUCAGUGCAGCAGUUUCUCUGCUUGCAUAUUUCUCAUACUUUAUUAUUGUCGUCUACUUUUUAAUUAUGCAAUUAUUUUAAAGAAUGAAGCAAGUAGUUCACUUAAAGGUAGUUUCAUAUUAACAUACUAAAGCCCUUAAAUAUCCUUAUGUUACACAUAUUAUUUGAUGAUUCACAAUGUAGUAGCACCCACUGACUGUAAUGUCUCCUCACCAAAUCAGAUAGCAGAUAUUAAUUAUAUGUCUAUUGUUGGCCCAGUGUUGUAUGCACUCCUGUUGGGCUUUGAUACUGCUUUCUGACAAGUGCGACAUUUCUAAUAUAAAUGUUUCAACAGGUGUUUUAACUGGUUGUGGUUGCAGGACUUUCUGAUCCAUGUUUCUGGAGCCUGAUUUGUGAAAUCUAUCCCUGACCUCAAGUACAGCCUGCCCAAGUGAUACAGUUAGACACUUUCUUCUCCCCUUUUCCCAUGUAACUCCUUUUACUAUUUACCAAUGAAAAGUUGAUUGGAAGAGGUGAGGAAGGAAUUCAGUUGCUAACACAGACUGAUGGAAAUAUUUGAUGUAGGCUGCUUUUGUUCAUUAUUUGCAAAACCAAUUAAGUUAUAGUUUGAUAAAUUUUUAGAAAUUUUUCAUAAUGAAAGUGGAGGCAUUGAGAAUGUACUUACUUCAUUUCUAAAAAAUCAAAAUUGUAUCCUCUACAGUAACACUUGAUUUUAUAAGCUCCAUAUGGAUUUUUAACUACAUUUAGCAAUAUUUUUAAGUGAAAUUUCAUGAAAAUUUGUUAAUGAUAUUAUUAUUUCAUAACGGACUAUGUAAGAUUUCCAUAGGUAAGUAUCAGUACUUCAUCACUCCAGAUUAUAAACAAAGUGAAUAGACAUCUAGUCCAUUCUAUACAAAGAAAAUUCAUGUAAAGGAAAUAAUGCUAAUCUCAAUUUGAGAUUAGGUAAAGUCCCCAUUUGAAAACUGUGGCUUAUUUUACAUGACAGCAUGUAUCAUUUCCAGCUGCUUUCUCUCUCUAAUCAAAACAUUUGCUCACAAUAACAGCUGCCUCUAUGCCUUGCUUUUAAACCAUUUGCAGCAAAUCAAACUGGGAACGUGUCCAUAGUAAGAAAACUCAGGAUUCUGGGAUAUGUCUGUUCUCCAACUUCAAAAUAAAAACAACAAGAAAGCUAAUUCACAAACCAAUUAUCUUUUUCCUCUGAAGCUUUGUUUCAUGAGCCCUAAUAAACAAAGUUUACAAUAAACACUAAAAUAGUACAGUCCAGAGAUUUAUAAACAAUUGUUCUUUUCAAAAUAAAUCCAUUUAAAAUUGUAUAUCAGAUAUGUACAAUACAGUGCAUGACUUCUGUACUCAUCAAUUAUUUUGGGAAAACAAUAUAGGAACUGAGUUUUGCAAAUAAUAGUAAAUUAUUAUUCUGAGCCAUUAUCUGUGUCAUCUGUAUGAAGCUGCAUUACUAAAAGUUAAUAGUCUACGUAUGACUUUAUAUUAUAGAUAGCUUUUGACUCAAACAAAAGAGAUAUCAAACUGAAUUGGUAUGAAUAACUAUUUUGGAAUAGAUUUUAUAAUCUAUGUUUGCCAAAGAAAUCCUUCUUCUAUUUAUAUACCCUUUAGAAUACAAUGGUUUGGUAUUAGCAAAUUUUGCACUGUUUUAGAUGAAAAUAUUUGAUUGUUAAUGUUAUAAUUUUUUAAAGCAUUCAUUUCUCUUCAUAAGUAUCAUCAUCAAUUUCAAGGGAAGAAAAGAGUAAAUAUAAUUUAGGUCAGACUAACACAUCUUAAUUUAAGCAUUAAAAGAUGUGUGUUUGAAAGAUGUCAAUCUCCACAUGUUCUGGAAAUAAAAACCAGACAAACAAUACAACAGAACUUCAUGCAUCCCAUAGAAAUCUGAAUAACCAAUUACUUAAAAUUUUACCAUCUGCUCUCAUUGAAGCAGCAAGACUGAGGCAUUUUCCCGUGUUACAAACCAUGAUAAUCAGAAUGUAACAGAAUGAGAAAUGCUAACAUCAUUUUCCCCCCUUCCUUAUUUGCUGUUGUGUUUCUUAAUGAAAACCUGGGCUAUACAAAGGAAAGGGGAGGACGUUCCCCCGCCCCAUCUCCUAACUGAGGGCUUAUACCAAGUAAUAGCUUUCUACUGCCCUGGGCAGUGUGACAUUGCCUCAUUUGGCCAGCUAUUAUUCUAGGAGGCAGCUAGUGAAGUGCCCCGAUCCAUCUGCUUGCUUUUCAUGGACUGGUGCUUUCCUUGAUGUUGACAGCUGUCUUAGUAUUCCUGGGCCACCUGCCACAUAGUAAAUACUGUGCUCCAACAUAUAUACAGAAGCUUAUCCCUCUGGUGGACUUUUUAGAACAAAAAGCUUAACAUUUCUAAACUACACUUGCAUCUUUGUUGAAAUGCUUCAGAGUCAGCACUUUGUCUUUUCUCAUACUUUUGAGGAAUACAGUGCUUGUGCAUUGGGAAUGGUAGUUCAGUUACAGUGUGAUGAACUUCAGCUUUUCUCAAACAUCAAAUAAGUAUUGAAUUGCAGACCUUUUUUGUGGAAGUCAUGGUGGUCACAGGAGGCAGAGGGGAAAAAAGUUAUCUCCUCUAGUGAGCCUUCCUGGAACCUUUUCGACUAAGUUGGGGUCCAUCCUAUUUAU